UACGUAGGGUGCAAGCGUUGUCCGGAAUUAUUGGGCGUAAAGAGCUCGUAGGCGGUUUGUCGCGUCUGCUGUGAAAACUCAGGGCUUAACUCUGAGCUUGCAGUGGGUACGGGCAGACUAGAGUGCGGUAGGGGAGACUGGAAUUCCUGGUGUAGCGGUGAAAUGCGCAGAUAUCAGGAGGAACACCGGUGGCGAAGGCGGGUCUCUGGGCCGUAACUGACGCUGAGACGCGAAAGCCAGGGGAGCGAACGGG
rnacentral:rRNA from 1 species